rnacentral:lncRNA from 9 species
GUUGCAGGGGAAACCAGCAAGCAUGGUGAUCCGUGCCCCUGCCCACCUCUCCUCUAAGACCUGGCACUGCCCAUCCACCUGGACGACUUCCUGCUUUUCAGAUAUCAGAAUGCAGGUGUGCCUGGCAACCUCCGAAAAUCCCUCACGCCAAUGUUACAGCUGCAUCUACAAGACUCCUUCUCAGAAGGCUCUUCUGUGCCAAGGGGAGCCUGCCAUGUCGCAAAGGGCGUCAGCUCCAUUCCUCCUUGGCUGGAACCACUGCCGGAUGGGGUAGAAGAACCUGCGGUCCCUUCCCAGACACACCCCACCUACUCAGCCUUCUCUGGGUCAAGGCCAGAGCAGACAUCAGUCUCCGAGAGCAGCAGGCUGUGGGAAUGCAGAGGCGGGUCCUUCAACUUACAGAGCAGAGCUUCUUUCUUUCCCCCCAAUUCUUUCUACCCAUUAAAUGUGUUGCAGUAUCGGGAUUUGCCUGUGUGAGUGGCUUUAAAAGGAGGAAACCAGAGGACAAGAGCAGUUGCAUAUUGACGGUGUCAUGGAUGCCCUCUAACUUUAUCCAGUAGAGCUGUGGCAAGGAUGAAGAGAGUGAGCAUGUGUAAAGGGCUGCUGGUUGUGCACUCCGUGAACCUCUGCGCUUAUGGAAAGAAGAGACAUUUUGCUGGAAGGUUUGGGCUUCCAACUUUCCUGCUGACCGAGCUUGAACUGCUAGAAGGGGAAAACAAACAGAGAUUCCACCUGCACCACGAGCGGCCCCAGAGUAAACAUUCCACACACAUCGCUGGGUUAUCUCCAGAAUGAUCCUGCAUGGCUGUGCUGUUAUUAUCUCCAUGUUACAGGACUCAAAGAACUGGUCAGGGAGAAAGCCUGGAGGAUACAGAGAGGCGAUUUUCCCAUGAUGGACACACAGCUUCCUAAACCAGAGGCCGUCUUUCUUGAAAGACUGAGUGGGAGAUCUCAAAAUCUGCCAAGUCCUAGAGGAAUUCUGUGAAGGAGGAAUUACAAGGGGACAUCGAGAAUACAGGCGGAAUGAGUUCUCUGGGUUUAAUGAAGCCAUUGUCACCUCCUUUCCUCGUUGGCCCCUGGACCUCUGGGUCCCAGGGACCCAGAGAAGUUGCCAUCUCAGCUGCUUGCUUGUGUUCUGAACGUCAGGCUCCAUGAAUUUGGCUCCUGGCAACACCUCUGUUCCCACCUUCACAGACCACUCUCUGCCGCCCAAGCACCAACUAGCCAGGGAGCGCCCUGCGGAUCCCGGGUGCUCUGCAGCUCCCUUAACUUACUUUCAUUAAUUACAUGCUUCAUGCCCAGAUACCUGCUUUCCCAGCAGGAAUGCCAGGAGUGUGUCCUGCUCCUCACUGUAACCCUGCAUGAGGCCACACUUAGAAGACAUACAUUUUUAAAAUGGAGCUAGCCAAAAGCCAGCUUAGCAGCCCCGGGACAACCUUGCCUGGAUGGAAGAUUUCACCUUUGGCGGAAAGGAGGCAAACUCAGCCAUGCUCUCAAGCAAAUUCCAACUGGGAUGCAGGUUUUCUUUCUCUUUUCCUGUUCCCCCUCUAGUUUAGAAGAGCUACUGCAUUGGCUGAUUCCCCAGGUUAGGAUUCCAAGGAAGCAAAAGUAAGAGUUAUUUCUUCAUUGAGCCUCAAGAGCCCUUUCAAUCCACUUGUUGUUGGCCCCAAGCCAAAGCCAGUUACCUUCUGAUGGAAAGAAAUGAUUUCCGUGUUAAUAUGAUUUGUAUCUGGCAAAUCCAUGCAGCCUGCUGAUUAUCAUCAUAUUCCUGGCCUUCCGUUCUUUUCAAAAUGACAGGCUAUUGAUCCAGCCUUCUCCCAGUUUUGAAGUUUAUGGAAAAGGACGUCUCCACGGUACAGUUCAUUCCCACUGGUCCUCGAGCUGCAGGGGAGACAUGUUGACUUUUGAAUUUCAGGUACUUUCCCUGCCCCUUUCAAUGAGGACCAAGCACCAAGAAUCUUCUGAUGCCUACCAGGCACAAUGCUGAGCCCAGAGUCGGCCCUCAGAGCUCGCUGAGCAGAACGGAGCUGGGGGUACCUGUCUCUCCCACCCUCCUCUGAGACUUUGCCCUUUAAAUUCAUCAGUGGCAGCACCGUGGGUUCUCUCCGCAGAGGCAGCGGCAUAGCCGGGCAUCUUCUCUUACCGACACUUUCUCUGUUUGGUGUGCGCUUAACAACCACCUUGAGGCUGGGUGAGAACCAGACUUGUUUUGAGGGACUCUGGGAAGGCAGAGCUGGGCUGUGGCCCUGGGUAUCCUGGCUCCAGGCCCAGUGCUCUUUCCCCUCAUCUUAUCCUCACAUCCCUCUCAGGCACCCUUCCAAGGCAGGCAGCGUAGCCCCACCAGCACUUAGACGGCAUCUUGGCCCUGCCGUUCAGGAGCUGCGGGAUCUUGAGCAGAUGUUAUCUUUCUAAGCCUCAGUUUCUCCAUCUGUUAACUGGAGCUAAGAAUGCCCCGGUCAGCAAUCCUCAGGGCCAUUGCACAAGUUAAAUGAGAUGAUGCCAGUGAAGCUUCUCACACAGAGGUUAUCUCUGAGUUAGGGCCCAAAUAGCUGUUUACUGGUGUGACUGGUGAUACUAUUGUUCUUUGGGGGAAACUGUUCUCUCUCUGAGCCAAGACCAAUGGCUCGACCCGUAGGUCUUUCCUCAGCCUUGGUCUGGAUGUGGUCAUCAUUCCUCCAUCCACCUCCCUUUCUUAUUCUCUAAAUGAAAGAACCUGUCCUUUCAGCCAAAAGAAUUUGUAAGUGUUACCUGAGUUUCUAAGAUAUUUAGAAAGCCUCUUUCAAGGAGAAUCCUUAGAGACAGCAUGAAAAGAGAGUCAGGCCAGACAUCUGCCCCAUGAGGAGGAAGCCCGGAUUCUGGCCAACCACCUCUUCCCUCAUCUUCCUUUGUGGAGCAGAAACUUCACUAGAGACUGGAUUGAGCUGGCCCCCUGGUCUGGAUGUGGCCCUGAAACAGCACUGCUCAGCUGCCUCCAUCCCCUCCCCACCCAUCUGGGUACCAUGUCCUGCUGACUCUGUCUCCAUGACUCAUCUGAGUUUCCCUGUCAAACCCAGUGCCACCACCCCAGGCCAUGCUCCUCAUGCAUGGACAAUUAACUAGCCACUACCUAACGAGUCUUCUCGCCUUCAGGUUCUUAAGGAAUCCAGAACUCUGGACCAGACUGGGCUUCCUGGAGCCUGGCGCUGUUGGUGUGCCUUCUCAGCAGACUCCCACUUUAUAAAGCAAGCUUCUAAGCCUAGGCCAGGCAGAAUGUGGCCAACCCUGUCCCCCUGUCUCGUGUCACUGUCCUCCAUUAGGGCUGCACACCAUGUCCCGCACUCACGUUUCCCAAACACCCAUCCAAGGUGCUUUGAAAAAAUGAGUGUUCCGAGGCAUGACCCAAAUCUACUGAGACUUACUGCAGGUAGAUCCGGGGAAUCUAUAUUUAUAAAAGUGUUCCAGGGGACCAAAGCCCCAUCAGGGGUGGGAACCACUGUGCACAGGGCUGCCAGGGAGGUCUGUGCUCAGCCCCCAUGCUUAUCACGUACUCCCACUUCCACACAUGCCACCCUCUUUGCCCACCAUCCAGGCUCUGCCUGCUAAUUUCUCCCCAUCUUUCAAGGCCCACGUCCAAGAACCUCUCCUCCAGGAAGUUUCUCCAGAUUCCUCCAGCAGAAGUAUGCCUCAUCUCCCAACAUCCUGUCCUCCCUCUCUGCUAUAUUCUAGGCAUUCCUUAAAGUCUGCCUCCACUGCCUCAUCUCCUGGCCCCUGGACAAAAGGAAGAUGUCGCUGUGGCUGGCUGCUCUCCAUCCUUUCCCCAUCCACUUGCAGAUAAUAGUAUUUAUGGAAUAGGAGCCUCUUAAGGAUUCAUGAGCUAUCCAUCUAGAGAACUUUGAAUUGUGCCAAGAGAUGUUAGCUCUCAGAAUCCUCACAGCCAUCAUGGCAUCUUCAUUCAGGUUUUUGGGGUUAUUUGUGUGCCCGCAUUUUCUCCCUCGAGUUCCUGUUGACAGCAAGACUGUCCUGUUCCUCUUCCCACCCACUGCGACACUUGACACAAUACAGCUUUGGCAUGUAUACAGGACAUGUCAUAGUACUGGCUGGAUGGUGACAUGCUCUGAUACAGUUAACCGCUCCCCCUGUACCCCUCUCUUCUCUCCCCACCUGGCCCUACCACUGCAGUUUGCCCUCAAAGAACUUAGCACUCUUAGAGUUUGUAAUUAUGUCUUUACUUUUUGCAAUUAUUUGAUUAUCAUCUGAUAUUUUCACCAAGUUCUAAGUUCCCUGAAGGCAGGGAUUUUAAAGUCAUUAAUUAGCCACCCCUAAUUAAUCUAAAAUUGAUUCAUUAACCUACCAAUGGACUUUUUUUUUUUGGUUCUCCUAAUUAUACUAAUAUAAUAGAGGGGGUUCUGAAUAGUAGAGCAAUUAUGGUAAACGAGUUCUACGAGUAGCUAGAACUAUAUUCAGUGACCAUAUCAGAGUCUAGAUCAAUCAGAGCAUAGUUAAUUGGGUUAUUGACAGAGGUACAAGGUAGGCUUCAGUGUGGGCUCUGCAGUCAGGUGGGCUAGUUUGGGACAAUCUCACUUGUUACCUGUGUGACUAUAAACAAGGCCGUGACUCUACGCUUCUCAUCCGUAAAAUGGAGAUAAGAGUAGAUGGACCUCAUAGGAUCACUGGGCAUGUGAAAUGCUUACUCAGGAAGUUAGUUAUUAUGACGAUAAUACUGCUGACUUCCAAAUAACAUCAAACGAACCUAAUUAAAUGUUUAUGGGUAAGAUCAUGGGCUUCCAUUUUCUUAUCUGUGGGGAUAGUUUUUAUAAUAAAAAUGAUGAGCUGUUUACAAGGGAACAAUAAUGAUGGAGAUUUAGGGCCCAUCCAAGUACAUCCCAACCCCUGACCAGAAAUAUACUCACUUUAUAGAAAAUAAAGUCAUCACAGGUUUUACUUCCUCAAGGAAAGUUUAAGCAGAUUUAAAUUUUUCCUCAUAGAAAAACUAAAAUGAGUGAUUUGGGAACCAGGACAAAGAAAAAAAAGGGAAGGUCUCCAUUCAACCCCAUUCACCUGCUCUUCCAGCUGUAGGGCACUUGCCCUCCUGGAACUUUGAUGACAAACACAGAAUAUCACUGUGACCUUAAUAAAAUCUAGAGCCCUGCACUGUUUACGCACAAGGUCACAUUCGAAAUCACGCAAUGCAAGGCCCACAGGCAAUUAAAGGCGAAUUGCUCAUCUUUAUUAGUAUCUCCCAAAGUACAGUUGGCCCUCUGUAUCUGUGGGUUUCACAUCUGAAAUUUCCAUCCACAGGUAGGAGAUGGAUAUGGAGGGCCGGCUAUAUUCAUUGUUCUCCAUUAUUUUAUGGAAGAGACAGGACCAUUCAUGGAUUUGGAUUCACCUGGAGCCACCCCCAGGCAUACUGAGAGACAGCCGUACAUUAAAAGGGACUCGGGUGUUGCUGUUGUGGCUCAGCCUGUUGAAAACCCGACUAGUAUCCAUAAGGAUGCAGGUUCGAUCCCUGGCCUCACUCAGUGGGUUAAGGAUUCAGUGUUGUCGUGAGCUGUGGUGUAGGUCGCAGAUGAGGCUUGGAUCCAGCAUUGCUGUGGCUGUAGUGUAGGCCAGUAGCUGCAGCUCCAAUUCGACCCCUAGCCUGGGAACUUCCAUAUGCCACAGCUGUGGCCCUAAAAAGAAAAAAAAAAGUGAUUCAGUUCAUAGGUCACCAUAGUAUAUGUCAGAAGCACCUCCUCUCUGCCCUCAGAGAUGCUAUUUGGAGAUACUCCAAAUCCCAGAUGCUUCCUCAAGCCUCAGCCCCUGGUAAAGGGUGUAGACCUUUCUCCUCCUACCUCCCUACUUGCUCCUUCUAUUGAUUGACCUCAUCCCUUUACCUCCCCACCCCCAACCCCUACCACCUACCCCCUCUUCCCACAUCACAAAAGAUCCUGGACUGGGGCUGAUUAAAAGCUCUCCUUUACUGGAGGAGUGCUGGGCAGGGGCAGGCGGCAUAGAGGAUGACUAUCGUCUUUCCGGCUCCCUCUUUCAGAAACUGAAAAUUCUGUUUCUUUUCUGACUGUAGGUCACUGUCAUGGAACUGUUGACUAGGAUACGUAACUCAGGUUAGGUCAACCAGAUUCUCCCUGCUACCUCUCCCGGCAGCAGUGCCCCAGUGAGGCUCCUGAUUGGUUCCUGCCUUCCCCACCCCCUUGCUACCCAGACCUCUGCCACUGUCCAAGCCCAAUUCUUCAAUUUUCUCUACACCCUGCGAGCUGUCAAAAAUCUUUCCAACAAAUGUGUCUGCGUAAUUUGUCCACGUUGAUUUCUGUUGUUUGCAACCAAAGAACACUAGGUUAAUACCAAAAACUCUCAUAUUAAUCCAUCUUGUCACCAUCUCUGUUUGUGAGAUUACAGCUGCAGACCUGGACCAAUGAACCUGAAUUUAACUGAAGUAAUUUAUGGCAACACAAGGCCAAAAAGCAGCCUCCAUCAAAUUUGCUUUCUGGAGUUCCCCUUGUGGCUCAGAGGGUUAAGAGCCCAACAUAGUGCCCACGAGGAUGUGGGUUCAAACCCUGGCCUCGCUCAGUGUGUUAAGGAUCCCUUGUUGCUGUGGCUGUGGCAGAGGCCAGCAGCUGCAGCUCCAAUGUGACCUCUAGCCCUGGAACUUCCAUAUGCCACAGGUGCGGCUGUAAAAAAACUUUUUUUAAAAUUUGCUUUCUACUACCAUUUCUCAUUCUCUAACAAAAUCAUUCGGACCUACCUAAAAUUCCUGAUGAGGCAAAGAGUAAUGGUUACUCAAACAUUUUGUAAAACCUAUGUUCACUUUCUAGAGGCUAUGUUCAGUAAUAAAAAUAACAUGAACCAAAGAAUCAAAAUCUUUGGCUUUUCUCAUUUACUCAUUGUGUGACUUCAGCUCAAGCACCUAACCUGAUCUCCAUGAGCUUCACUCAUCUUGUGUAUGAAAAUACAGAUACCUUGCUGUACAGUGGGAAAAAAAAAAGAAAAAAA